rnacentral:rRNA from 1 species
AUUGAACGCUGGCGGCAUGGCUAAGACAUGCAAGUCGAACGAUGAAGACCCCUUCCGGGGGUGUAUGAAGUGGCGAAAGGGCGAGGAAUACAUUCCUACGUGCCUCGAGGUCAGGGAUAGCCCAGGGAAACCUGGAGUAAUACCUGAUGUGGUCUACGGAUCAAAGGCUUGCUGCCUUGAGAGCGGGGAAUGUCCUAUCAGGUUGUUGGUGAGGUAAAGGCUCACCAAGCCUAAGACGGGUAGCGGGUGGUGAGAGCAUGACCCGCCGCAUCGGGACUGAGACACUGCCCGGACUCCUACGGGAGGCUGCAGUAACGAAUAUUCCGCAAUGCGCGAAAGCGUGACGGAGCAAUGCCGCGUGCAGGAUGAAGCCUUUCGGGGUGUAAACUGCUGUCAGGGUACAGGAACACAAUGACCAUACCCAAAGGAAGGGCCGGCUAACUUCGUG